UACGAAGGGUGCGAGCGUUAUUCGGAUUUAUUGGGCGUAAAGGGUGCGCAGGCGGCAUGUUAAGUCAGUUGUUUAAUCUCCUGGCCUAACUGGGAAUCAGUGACAGAUACUGACAUGCUAGAGGAUGGAAGAGAGAAGUGGAAUUCUCGGAGUAGCGGUAAAAUGCGUAGAUCUCGAGAGGAACACCGAUGGCGAAGGCAGCUUCUUGGUCCAUUUCUGACGCUCAUGCACGAAAGCGUGGGGAGCAAACAGG
rnacentral:rRNA from 1 species